ACUCAAAUGAAUUGACGGGGGCCCGCACAAGCAGCGGAGCGUGUGGUUUAAUUCGAUGCAACGCGAAGAACCUUACCCGGGCUUGACAUGCACGUGGUACCGAGGCGAAAGCUGAGGGACCCGCGAGGGAGCGUGCACAGGUGCUGCACGGCUGUCGUCAGCUCGUGCCGUGAGGUGUUGGGUUAAGUCCCGCAACGAGCGCAACCCCCGCGGCCAGUUACUCGGUCUGGCCGGACCGCCGGGACCAACCCGGAGGAAGGUGGGGACGACGUCAAGUCAGCGUGGCCCUUACGUCCGGGGCGACACACACGCUACAAUGGUCGGGACAAUGGGCAGCGAGGGGGCGACCCGGAGCGAAUCCCAGCAAACCCGGCCCCAGUUCGGAUCGGAGGCUGCAACUCGCCUCCGUGAAGUCGGAGUUGCUAGUAACCGCAGGUCAGCACACUGCGGUGAAUGCGUUCCCGGGCCUUGCACACACCGCCCGU
rnacentral:rRNA from 1 species